AACGAACGCUGGCGGCAUGCCUAACACAUGCAAGUCGAACGAGACCUUCGGGUCUAGUGGCGCACGGGUGCGUAACGCGUGGGAAUCUGCCCUUGGGUUCGGAACAACAGUUGGAAACGACUGCUAAUACCGGAUGAUGACUUCGGUCCAAAGACUUAUCGCCCAAGGAUGAGCCCGCGUAGGAUUAGCUUGUUGGUGAGGUAAAAGCUCACCAAGGCGACGAUCCUUAGCUGGUCUGAGAGGAUGAUCAGCCACACUGGGACUGAGACACGGCCCAGACUCCUACGGGAGGCAGCAGUGGGGAAUAUUGGACAAUGGGCGAAAGCCUGAUCCAGCAAUGCCGCGUGAGUGAUGAAGGCCUUAGGGUUGUAAAGCUCUUUUACCCGGGAUGAUAAUGACAGUACCGGGAGAAUAAGCCCGGCUAACUCCGUGCCAGCCGCCGCGGUAACAC
rnacentral:rRNA from 1 species